rnacentral:rRNA from 1 species
UGGGGAAACCCAGUGUGACUCGUCACACUAUCAUUAACUGAAUCCAUAGGUUAAUGAGGCGAACCGGGGGAACUGAAACAUCUAAGUACCCCGAGGAAAAGAAAUCAACCGAGAUUCCCCCAGUAGCGGCGAGCGAACGGGGAGGAGCCCAGAGCCUGAAUCAGCAUGUGUGUUAGUGGAAGCGUCUGGAAAGGCGCGCGAUACAGGGUGACAGCCCCGUACACAAAAGCGCAUGUGCUGUGAGCUCGAUGAGUAGGGCGGGACACGUGGUAUCCUGUCUGAAUAUGGGGGGACCAUCCUCCAAGGCUAAAUACUCCUGACUGACCGAUAGUGAACCAGUACCGUGAGGGAAAGGCGAAAAGAACCCCGGCGAGGGGAGUGAAAAAGAACCUGAAACCGUGUACGUACAAGCAGUGGGAGCACCCUUUGGGUGUGACUGCGUACCUUUUGUAUAAUGGGUCAGCGACUUAUAUUCUGUAGCAAGGUUAACCGAAUAGGGGAGCCGGAGGGAAACCGAGUCUUAAUUGGGCGUUAAGUUGCAGGGUAUAGACCCGAAACCCGGUGAUCUAGCCAUGGGCAGGUUGAAGGUUGGGUAACACUAACUGGAGGACCGAACCGACUAAUGUUGAAAAAUUAGCGGAUGACCUGUGGCUGGGGGUGAAAGGCCAAUCAAACCGGGAGAUAGCUGGUUCUCCCCGAAAGCUAUUUAGGUAGCGCCUCGUGAAUUCAUCUCCGGGGGUAGAGCACUGUUUCGGCUAGGGGGCCAUCCCGGCUUACCAACCCGAUGCAAACUGCGAAUACCGGAGAAUGUUAUCACGGGAGACACACGGCGGGUGCUAACGUCCGUCGUGAAGAGGGAAACAACCCAGACCGCCAGCUAAGGUCCCAAAGUCAUGGUUAAGUGGGAAACGAUGUGGGAAGGCCCAGACAGCCAGGAUGUUGGCUUAGAAGCAGCCAUCAUUUAAAGAAAGCGUAAUAGCUCACUGGUCGAGUCGGCCUGCGCGGAAGAUGUAACGGGGCUAAACCAUGCACCGAAGCUGCGGCAGCGACACUGUGUGUUGUUGGGUAGGGGAGCGUUCUGUAAGCCUGUGAAGGUGUGUCGUGAGGCAUGCUGGAGGUAUCAGAAGUGCGAAUGCUGACAUAAGUAACGAUAAAGCGGGUGAAAAGCCCGCUCGCCGGAAGACCAAGGGUUCCUGUCCAACGUUAAUCGGGGCAGGGUGAGUCGACCCCUAAGGCGAGGCCGAAAGGCGUAGUCGAUGGGAAACGGGUUAAUAUUCCCGUACUUGGUGUUACUGCGAAGGGGGGACGGAGAAGGCUAUGUUGGCCGGGCGACGGUUGUCCCGGUUUAAGCGUGUAGGUGUGUGUUCCAGGUAAAUCCGGUUCACUUUAACACUGAGGCGUGACGACGAGGCACUACGGUGCUGAAGCAACAAAUGCCCUGCUUCCAGGAAAAGCCUCUAAGCAUCAGGUAACAUCAAAUCGUACCCCAAACCGACACAGGUGGUCAGGUAGAGAAUACCAAGGCGCUUGAGAGAACUCGGGUGAAGGAACUAGGCAAAAUGGUGCCGUAACUUCGGGAGAAGGCACGCUGACACGUAGGUGAAGUGAUUUACUCAUGGAGCUGAAGUCAGUCGAAGAUACCAGCUGGCUGCAACUGUUUAUUAAAAACACAGCACUGUGCAAACACGAAAGUGGACGUAUACGGUGUGACGCCUGCCCGGUGCCGGAAGGUUAAUUGAUGGGGUCAGCGCAAGCGAAGCUCCUGAUCGAAGCCCCGGUAAACGGCGGCCGUAACUAUAACGGUCCUAAGGUAGCGAAAUUCCUUGUCGGGUAAGUUCCGACCUGCACGAAUGGCGUAAUGAUGGCCAGGCUGUCUCCACCCGAGACUCAGUGAAAUUGAACUCGCUGUGAAGAUGCAGUGUACCCGCGGCAAGACGGAAAGACCCCGUGAACCUUUACUAUAGCUUGACACUGAACAUUGAGCCUUGAUGUGUAGGAUAGGUGGGAGGCUUUGAAGUGUGGACGCCAGUCUGCAUGGAGCCGACCUUGAAAUACCACCCUUUAAUGUUUGAUGUUCUAACGUGGACCCGUUACCCGGGUUGCGGACAGUGUCUGGUGGGUAGUUUGACUGGGGCGGUCUCCUCCUAAAGAGUAACGGAGGAGCACGAAGGUUGGCUAAUCCUGGUCGGACAUCAGGAGGUUAGUGCAAUGGCAUAAGCCAGCUUGACUGCGAGCGUGACGGCGCGAGCAGGUGCGAAAGCAGGUCAUAGUGAUCCGGUGGUUCUGAAUGGAAGGGCCAUCGCUCAACGGAUAAAAGGUACUCCGGGGAUAACAGGCUGAUACCGCCCAAGAGUUCAUAUCGACGGCGGUGUUUGGCACCUCGAUGUCGGCUCAUCACAUCCUGGGGCUGAAGUAGGUCCCAAGGGUAUGGCUGUUCGCCAUUUAAAGUGGUACGCGAGCUGGGUUUAGAACGUCGUGAGACAGUUCGGUCCCUAUCUGCCGUGGGCGCUGGAGAACUGAGGGGGGCUGCUCCUAGUACGAGAGGACCGGAGUGGACGCAUCACUGGUGUUCGGGUUGUCAUGCCAAUGGCACUGCCCGGUAGCUAAAUGCGGAAGAGAUAAGUGCUGAAAGCAUCUAAGCACGAAACUUGCCCCGA